GAGUACUAAAUGGGCUAUGGAGCCUACCAGCUUUCUGAACCCAAUUAAACUCCGAAUGCUAUUAUCCUUAACUCGGGAGUAAGACAGUGGGGGAUAAGCUUCAUUGUCAAAAGGGAAACAGCCCAGACCGCCAGCUAAGGUCCCAAAAUAUAAGCUAAGUGGCAAAGGAUGUGAAACUGCGUAGACAACCAGGAUGUUGGCUCAGAGGCAGCCAUCAUUUAAAGAGUGCGUAACAGCUCACUGGUCGAUUGUGGUUUUGCGCCGAUAAUGAGCGGGGCUCAAGCUUAUUACCGAAGCUGCGGAUUUAUAUCUGCCUACGGGCAGGUAUAAGUGGUAGAGGAGCGUUCUAUUAUAGGUUGAAGGGGUACCGAGAGGAGCCCUGGACGAAAUAGAAGUGAUUAUGCCGGUAUGAGUAGCGAAAAUCCCGAUGAGAAAACGGGACGCCGAAAAUCUAAGGUUUCCUGGGGAAGGUUAAUCCGCCCAGGGUUAGUCGAUCCUAAGCCGAGGCCGAAAGGCGUAGGCGAUGGACAAUACGUUAAUAUUCGUAUACCACCUGUUUGGUGUUUGAGCUUUAAAGUGACGCAGAAGGUUAAACCAUCGCGCUGUAAGGAUGUGCGCGUCCAAGCCUGUAGCCCCGCACCAGUAAUGGUGCUGGGUGAGGGGUGUUAGGGAGCCUGAUCUACGGAGAGGGUAAACUGGUUGAUACCACGCUGCCUAGAAAAACCUUUAAAGUGAAUCAAACGGGUGAUCGUACCGUAAACCGACACAGGUAGAUGGGGAGAAUAUCCUAAGGCGCUCGAUAUAACCCUUGUUAAGGAACUAGGCAAAAUAGCCCCGUAACUUCGGAAGAAGGGGUGCCCCGAAUGGUGAACGUCCUGCGACGCGAGCCGUUCGGAGUUUCAAUAAAGUGGCUCUUGUGACUGUUUAGCAAAAACACAUGUCUCUGCUAACUCGCUGAGAGGAAGUAUAGGGACUGACACCUGCCCGGUGCUGGAAGGUUAAGGGGAAUUGUUAUCCCUCGUAAGAGGGAGAAGCUCUGAACCGAAGCCCCAGUAAACGGCGGCCGUAACUAUACCGGUCCUCAGGUAGCGAAAUUCCUUGUCGGGUAAGUUCCGACCCGCACGAAUGGUGUAACAACAGGAGCGCUGUCUCAACAGGGGGAUCGGUGAAAUUGUAGCAGCGGUGAAGAUGCCGCGAACCCGCGACUAGACGAAAAGACCCCGGAACCUUUACUGUACUCUGGUACUGGACUUUGGUUCGAUAUGUGUAGGAUAGGUGGGAGGCUUUGAAGCUCGGGCGUUAGCUCGAGUGGAGCCAACGGUGAAAUACCACCCUUAUUUAACUCGGGUUCUAACCCGCAUCCGUGAAUCCGGAUGGGGAACAAUGCCAGACGGGCAGUUUGACUGGGGCGGUUACCUCCUAAAUUGUAACGGAGGUGUUCAAAGGUUUCCUCAGUGCGGUCGGCAAUCGCACGUAGAGCGUAAAG
rnacentral:rRNA from 1 species